AAAGCUUUAAGUUAAAAAACUAUUAACCUUCAAAGUUAAAAUUAUAGGGAGUCCUAUAAGCUUUA
rnacentral:tRNA from 1 species